rnacentral:rRNA from 1 species
UUAGUGGCGGACGGGUGAGUAACGCGUGGAAAACCUGCCGUAUACUGGGGGAUAACACUUAGAAAUAGGUGCUAAUACCGCAUAAGCGCACAGCUUCGCAUGAAGCGGUGUGAAAAACUCUGGUGGUAUACGAUGGUUCCGCGUCUGAUUAGCUAGUUGGUGGGGUAAUGGCCUACCAAGGCAACGAUCAGUAGCCGGCCUGAGAGGGGUGAACGGCCACAUUGGGACUGAGACACGGCCCAAACUCCUACGGAAGGCAGCAG